rnacentral:rRNA from 1 species
CUCAGGGAGGUAGUGACAAGAAAUAACAACACUGGAAAUUUUAUUUCUAGUGAUUGGAAUGAUGGGAAUUUAAACCCCUUUCAGAGUAACAAUUGGAGGGCAAGUCUGGUGCCAGCAGCCGCGGUAAUUCCAGCUCCAAUAGCGUAUAUUAAAGUUGUUGCAGUUAAAAAGCUCGUAGUUGGAUGUCUGCUGGAAGCAAUCAGUCCGCCCUAUUUGUAGGGUGUGCACUUGAUGAAUUCUGGCAUUUUUGUCCCAAUGAUGUAACGGGGCGGUGCUAUUGGGCGAAAGUUCAAUAGCCUGUUUUCCGAUUAUUGGGAUACUGUUACUUUGAGAAAAUUAGAGUGUUUGAAGCAGGCUAAUUGCCUUGAAUACUGCAGCAUGGAAUAACAAUAUAGGAUUUCGGUUCUAUUUUGUUGGUUUCUAGGACUGAAAUAAUGAUUAAUAGGGACAGUUGGGGGCAUUCGUAUUUAACUGUCAGAGGUGAAAUUCUUAGAUUUGUUAAAGACGAACUACUGCGAAAGCAUUUGCCAAAGACGUUUUCAUUAAUCAAGAACGAAAGUUAGGGGCUCGAAGACGAUCAGAUACCGUCGUAGUCUUAACCAUAAACUAUGCCGACUAGAGAUAGGAAAAUGUCAUUUUGCUGACUU